rnacentral:rRNA from 1 species
UACAGAGGUCUCAAGCGUUGUUCGGAUUCAUUGGGCGUAAAGGGUGCGUAGGUGGCGAGGUAAGUCGGAUGUGAAAGCUCGGAGCUCAACUCCGAAAUGGCAUUGGAAACUACCUUGCUCGAGGGUUGGAGGGGGGACUGGAAUUCUCGGUGUAGCAGUGAAAUGCGUAGAUAUCGAGAGGAACACCAGUGGCGAAGGCGGCUAUCUGGACAGAGUCUGACGCUGAGGCGCGAAAGCUAGGGGAGCAAACAGG